rnacentral:rRNA from 1 species
GAUCAGCAUGCCGCGGUGAAUACGUUCCCGGGCCUUGUACACACCGCCCGUCACACCACGAGAGUCUGCAACACCCGAAGCCGGUGACCCAACCCGGAAGGAGGGAGCCGUCGAAGGUGGGGCAGAUGAUUGGGGUGAAGUCGUAACAAGGUAGCCGUA